UUUACGUAUAGGUGGAGGUAUCAUUGAAGGCCAGUUGCCUCUAUCCCCUGAAAGUCCCUCACCCUCAUCCCUGGCGAGAAUGCUCUGUUUCUCAAGACUGGUGUCAGCGGGGAAGGGACAGUUCCUAGGGCGUAUUUUUGCACUGUUUGGUCCCAUAUUUGCAUGGAGUUAGUUAUGGCUGGGCAGGUGGUCCUCAUUAGGGCUCUUUGGGUCUUUG